rnacentral:rRNA from 1 species
GGUCCUGGCUCAGGAUGAACGCUGGCGGCGCGCCUAACACAUGCAAGUCGAACGGCACCCCUCUCCGGAGGGAAGCGAGUGGCGAACGGCUGAGUAACACGUGGAGAACCUGCCCCCUCCCCCGGGAUAGCCGCCCGAAAGGACGGGUAAUACCGGAUACCCCGGGGUGCCGCAUGGCACCCCGGCUAAAGCCCCGACGGGAGGGGAUGGCUCCGCGGCCCAUCAGGUAGUACGGGCGGGGUGACGGCCCACCGUGCCGACAACGGGUAGCCGGGUUGAGAGACCG